AAGUGUAAUUUAGCAUUGAUGGAAGCGUGGUUACAAUAACAAUGACGGAGUGACAGACAGGCUGACGCGCCUCAAAUUGCCAUGUUCUGUCUUGAUUGCGUUUCAGGUCCAGCUGGGGUGGAGGGCGUUUCCCUCCUGCAGGUGCACCUGUGCUGCGUUUCCUCAUCAAGCCUAGCCUUGUAUUGAAGGACUCUGAUUUCUGCUACGCCUUGUUGAAUUAUUGAUCUUGCUUGCUUGACGUUGUGCUUCAAGUGUGAUUUUUCUAGACCUCUCGAUACUAUUCAUCGUCUCUCUGAUUUUGUUCAUCUAUCCUUGUUUGUAAGGCCACUGAAAGGUGAAGCGCAUCGCAGCCGACGUUGGGUAAAAGGCAGGAUACACACUGGUCUGGACAUCGGUUAGACCGAGGGCACGUACAGUAUAGAGACAGUGGAGGAGCCGGCUUGCUUCUGCGGGCUAAUGGUUUAUGCUCUCCUCUCCAAGGCUGAAAUGAACGGGAAUGUUGUUUACCCCCAGCGCAGCGGGCCGUCGCCAAGACCAACAGAUAAAAACAGACACAAUCUCCACGAUGGGAUUCAGGGGCGGUCAAACACCCCACACGUCCACCGGUGGUUGAAGCAGCAACAGCGGCAGCAGCAACAGCAUUUCUUUGGAUCGGACCGGAGGACAGGGCAAGUGUUCUCUCAAUUGCAGCACCAUGGAGUGACAUGUGGACUCACGUGGACCUGUCAGAACCAAGCAAGAGGAUGAAACACCUGGCACGGAUGCUCGUCUCUUCUUCUUUUUCCAUAGUGGUGCCACAAGCAUCACUCAGAAAGCCCUGCUGAGGUGGUAGUUUUCUGUUAUAUUUAUUGAUAUUUUUGGUUAUAUAUAUACAUUUUUUAUAUAGAUUAGAAUUUUUUUUUUUAAUGGUGCCUCUUUUGAGUUUGGUUUGGAGCUUUGAUAGUCUGGCAGAAGUUUAUUAACGAGGAUCUUGAGUGACAGCUCAGUGGAUUCGUUUUAUUUAGGCUUGACAUUGAAGGCAACGUGAAUCGGUUUAAUUCCUGUCAAUACAAAAUCACAACAGCCUGACUUGAUGUAUAGCCAUUGAUGUCAUGGAUGCGGCAACGGAGAAGGGUUUUCAUUUCUUAUUGAACGUGAACCCAAAGGGCACAUCUGUCUCAGUUCUCUUCAAGUUCACAUACACCUCUGCAAAGAAUGCUGCCACAAGUGGCAGAGUGGAGACAUCAAAUCCUUGUGAAAGCAAGUUGCUGUUAGAUGACUUGAAAUAGAACAUUUUGUUGGUGUGCUUGCAAAAUGUGCUGCCUUCACACAGUGGAAGCCACUGAAGUCAUUUCUGGGAGAAUUAGCUCCUCCUAGUCGAAAGAACAAGACGGUUCGAAUAUGGCACAGUUCUGUUGUUUUAAGGUACAUUUUUUUAUGACAUUGGCCCAUUACGUCAUCAUGUUUUUAUUUUUGUCUUGAGAGAGAGCUAUUUUAGAGCUUAAUUCCGAAACGAUAGUAAGUCAUAAUAAUAAGAACCUGCAUUGUCUUUGUCCCUUUUUCUCUUUUUUUUUCUUUCUUAAAUAACAUUUUGUGCCUAACUACUGUAUAUCAGUACAUUUUGGACUAUAAAAAACGGAAGUAACUGAGCAACACUGAGCAGUUUGAUUGAUAUGUAAACAUUUGUGUCAUUGUAUAAUUUUCAACAGCUCAAGGUAAUAUAUAUCCUACUAUAAACUAUAAGUGGCAUGACAUUGUGGUCAAAGCAAAACCUAAAGUACAAAGUGGGUAUCAGGUUGAAAACAUCAUUGCUUCUUAGUUGUAUUGAUUUGAUGCAUAGUCCUCUUCUUUGUGUUCAUGUGCCUACUUGCCCAUACAUCCCAGUUUCCCAAUGCCCAGUGCGCUUUAUGGCUUUUUAUUCCUAUCUGACUCUACUGAUGGUUCAUAUAGGGAUGGAAGCCAUGCACCGCGCUGGAAGCACACACAAGACACUGGAACACACGCAUACAAUACACUAAUCUAUAUUGUGUAUUUAUAGAUGAGCGCUCAGGAGAAGAGCUGUCACACACAGUGACACUCUCUCACAUUUAUGGUGAAUAUGUGAACCUCUUCAGCACGUCCUCAACACACAUAGCUGGUGCUGAACCUCAAACAAAAUUGAUAUUGAUCUCAACAGAGAGGAAAAGUGGACUCUGAUGAAUCAGAUCAAUUUGAACCUGAGAAGCAGAACUCUUUCCAGGGGACCUGUCGCCAAAGUAACACAACGAAGAACCAUUUAGUUACCAAUAUUAGUUCUUGUUCUUCAUCCCCGUGGUGUGAAGUGACUUGGCGGUAAGUAAUCGUGAAAACAAUAGUAGUGUGUCAAACAGUGGCUAAGGCUGUUUAUUUAGCUAACUGCAGUUGGGGUCAAACCUUUACCGUAUAUUGCAAUUCAUGUUAACCACAGUUCAAAAUUCCUGCUUAAAAUGUAGAGAAUGCAAGAGUCUACUGGAAUGCUCAAAUAUCUGGAAGCGCAAACGACUGUGCUGCUGUAUAGGUUUGCACGAGUCAAAUAAGGUUAAACCACAAGCUGAUUUCGUCUGUGAAAUUAGUUUAUUACAGUUACAACGCUUUUUUUAAUGUGGAAGGAAAAGGAGGUGUUUAUUCAUGUUGAUGGAAUUCAUCCAGUGAAUUAUUGGAAGGAAGAAGGUGUUCACGAGAUUCGAAAACUGCUAUCACUGACAAUGUUGAAGUGGUCAAAAAUAUUUCUACGAUAUUGGGUUCUAUUACCAUCUUUUUCGUCAUGUUCAUGUUAAACGGUAAAAACUAUUUAAAAAUCCUUGUCACGUGGAGUUAACAAAUCAGUUGAGAAAUCACACACUAUGAAACUAACUUUGAAAAAACAUGGGCGAAAAGAAAUCACUCGUUUUGUUUUAGUCGACAUUUUCCUCGUAGUGUCCCUCUGUGCAUCAAUCACACUGUGAGAGAUGUAGAAUUUAGUCACGGGGGUGUGCAAAUCCAAUGUUUUUUUUUUUUUCUGAUGCCAACUGGACAAUAAACUUGAGCCAUUUAA